UGGUGGAGUGAUUUGUCUGGUUAAUUCCGAUAACGAACGAGAUCGCAUCCUACUAAAUAGUGGUCCUAACCGUCUAUAUGGGUGAAGCUAGUUGGCGCUGUGGGCUGGGAAACUGGCUCUGUAGCCUUUCGAGUGGAUCCUUGAUGUAUUGGGACCGAAUUACUUCUUAGAGGGACUGUCGGCGAUUAGCCGAAGGAAGUGCGGCAAUAACA
rnacentral:rRNA from 1 species